ensembl:lncRNA
GAUGCAGGCAAGAGUGGACUAAUGAUUACACCCUAGAUCAGCUAGAUGCAGGCAAGAGUGGACUAAUGAUUACACCCUAGAUCAGCUAGAUGCAGGCAAGAGUGGAUUAAUGGUUACACCCCAGAUCAGCUAGAUGCAGGCAAGAGUGUGCAAGGCGGUAUUGAAUGUGUCACUGUCUGUCACCUCAAAUUUUCCUUGCGACCUGUGUGCACAUAUGUUGUAAACUUUCAUUCAUAGGCUAGGUUGUAGAAACCUCAUGAUGGGUAUAGGGAACGUUUGAGUAUCAUUUAGUAGCCUAAACCAAUCGCUG